CCUACGGGCGGCUGCCGUUUCGAAUCAUUCACAAUGGGCGAAAGCCUGAUGGUGCGACGCCGCGUGAGGGAUGAAGGUCUUCGGAUUGUAAACCUCUGUCACUGGGGAGAAAACGCUUUGAGUUAAUAGUUCAAAGCCUGAUUUAACCCGGAGAGGAAGCAGUGGCUAACUCUGUGCCAGCAGCCGCGGUAAUACAGGGACUGCAAGCGUGAUUCGGGUUCGCUGGCCGUAAAGUGUGUCAGAGCGGUUAUCCCGAGGCUUAACCUCGGAACUGCGUCUGAAACUACUCGACUAGAGUACUGGAGAGGGAAACGGAAUUCACGGUGUAGCAGUGAAAUGCGUAGAUAUCGUGAGGAACACCAGAGGCGAAGGCGGUUUCCUGGACAGUUACUGACGCUCAGGCACGAAAGCAUGGGGAGCAAAAGGGAUUAGAUACCCGAGUAGUC
rnacentral:rRNA from 1 species